ACUCUCCAGAUCCCUGACCCAUCAGACUCAAAAGGCUGGUUUGAGUGGUUAUCAAGGGAGGACAAGUAAAAUGGAAAUGAAUUUAAAUUCUUUUGUGACACACAAGCUAGUUUCAGACAAAU
rnacentral:snoRNA from 1 species